UGGGAUGCUCUGGGCUGCCUC
rnacentral:piRNA from 1 species